AAAUGAAUAGACGGGGACCCGCACAAGCAGCGGAGCAUGUGGUUUAAUUCGAAGCAACGCGAAGAACCUUACCAGGGCUUGACAUGCCCCUGACCGCUCUAGAGAUAGGGCCUUCCCUUCGGGGACAGGGGACACAGGUGGUGCAUGGUUGUCGUCAGCUCGUGUCGUGAGAUGUUGGGUUAAGUCCCGUAACGAGCGCAACCCUUGUCUUUAGUUGCUAACAGGUUAAGCUGAGCACUCUAGAGAGACUGCCGAUGACAAAUCGGAGGAAGGUGGGGAUGACGUCAAAUCAUCAUGCCCUUUAUGUCCUGGGCUACACACGUGCUACAAUGGUCGGUACAACGAGCAGCUACACAGCGAUGUGAUGCUAAUCUCUUAAAGCCGAUCUCAGUUCGGAUUGCAGGCUGCAACUCGCCUGCAUGAAGUCGGAGUUGCUAGUAAUCGCGAAUCAGCAUGUCGCGGUGAAUGCGUUCCCGGGUCUUGUACACACCGCCCGU
rnacentral:rRNA from 1 species